GUGAGUGACAGUGACGUCAGUGUGACCUGUGUGACUGUGAGUGAGUGUUCCAGUGACACUAAUGACAUUAUUCCAUUAUCGUACUGACUUAUUGUGUAACAAUUAGGCCUACAAAAAAAAAAAUUUUGUUGUGGUAACUUAGGCCUGACAAGUGACAAGAUUUUGUAGUUUAGUGCUACCUAGGCCUAUUCUUGCAGGUUCAAAUACAUUAUUAAUUUAGUUAGGAGAUACAAGAUAAUUCCAAGAAUAAUUUAGGUUGUCGAGAUUGUUCAAGAUGGCGUUUUCCUGGAUAUUAGGUGGAAAGAAGAAAGAAGAAAAACAAGCACCGGUAAUAGAGGCUGUUGAAGUGGGCUCUGAUGAAGGUUAUACAAUUAUUCAAGCCAAUACUCCUCAGGUAGGUGGAUUGUAUCCUCAGAUUCCAUCUUCUGCUUACUCAACCAACCCAUACACACCACUACCAUACUACCCAGUGUUGCCUCAACGAGGGAAUCAACAAACGGCUGACACCAAUGCAAGGACUCAUGUACAAAACCAACUUGAUGGAAUACCAUUUGUGUUGAACCCAGCUUUGGAACAAUCAUCCAAGCAAACCCAUCUAGCAGGACUUGAAGAAUUGCGAAGGGCCGUGUUUCAAAUUGCUGCAGAUAUAAAUGACUCAGCGUAUAGCUAUGACUUUAAAACAGAAUAUAAUAUAAUGCGGGAAGCGUCUGCGUAUCAUGAAAGUUAGAUGUGAAGUAAAGUAUAAAACAGAUCAAUAAAUUGUAAAUGUUAUCUUUAAAUAUGUACUAUUUGAUUUAUGGCUGUUAACUUUUUUUUAUAAGUUAAUGAGAAUUGUAAUUACUUGUUAAAUAUUUGUUCUUAGUCACAACUUCUCAAUUACAAAAGUUAUAAAUUUAUUUUUCAUAUAGUUAUUUUUCUAUUAGAAGAAUCAAUCACAUAAAGCUAAAGAUUUGCACAAGACCAUACUAUCAUCAUACCAUCAUACUAUUUUUCAAACUUAAAUUCAACAAAUACAUAAAAUACACUCAUCACAGCAAACCUGCAGACUAAGCAAAUUUCCAUUUAUCUGGCUCGAUUUAUAAUAAAAUAUUCCCUUAAAGUUGUCAGAUGUAUUUCCUAUUUAAAUAAUACCUAUUAAUUUUAGUGAUUACUUAGGUUUGCUGCUAAAGGGAAUGUAUUGAGGUGUGUUUUUUAUAGAAAUUUUGAUAGAUUAUUAUGAAAUAAACAAAAUUGCCAAAAUUGAUUAAAAUAAACAAGCAAACUACAACAGUUAAUAAAAAAAACAUAGGUAUUAUAAAUUUACAAUUUUUUUAAAUAUCUGUAAACGUUUGGGCAUACAACAACGCUUCAAAAUACGAAAUUAUUUUUUUUUUAAGCUCUACAAAAUUGUUUGGAAAGAAAUGAUGAAAUGUUAUGUUUGUAGGGUCAAAAUGGGAAAAUUAAUUUUCACCCCAUAAAAACCCCCGUUCCCAUAGUCCGAUUAUGCUGGUUCGCGAACUCGUUGAAAUAAAUGUAAAGGUUUACAUAAAUUGAAUCAAAAUCGGAUCAUUUUUGCUCGAGUUAUCGCGCUAACAGACACACACACACACACACAUAUAUAUUGGGCUCUGGGGACCUCAAAACGAAAAAAGUAAUUCGGUCCUGGGUCUAGGUCUUAUCAUGAGACCUACGGUAAUAGCUUAUUCCCUAUAUAGGAAAUUCGCUAAAAACAAAGACUAUGAGAGUCUUGGUGCCUCAAUAUAUUUAUUGAAAACAGUACCUAUUAAUAAUAAUGGACAACCACCAUUUCUAGCAUGAUAGGCUUCAAAUGUGCUCAAAGGUUUAUACAUACAGUAUUGUACUGUGACCAAUGCCUAGCAACUAUCUAUGUCCGUUGGUACAAAUAUUUCUUUUAUCUUCAAUUUUGAGAUGUUGAAUAUGCAUGUGUAAAUAUAAAUGUCACCCUAUAUCUUGUGUAUGCAUUUCAAAUAUAAAUAUGUAUCUGUAAGUAUAUUAUGUAAGUAAACAUGUUACAUUAUAAUUUAUAUUGUUUUAAUAUUUCUGUAAUUAAUGUAUGGCCAUUGCUUCAUAAAAACGAUGGUGCAAAUACAAAUUAGAUAGGAGUAGCCAAUCGGAUUUGCAAUCUUGUCACAUUAAAUUAAUUUCACUCAUGAUUCAUAAUUUUGAUGAAUUGAUAUAGGCCUACGUCAAUUAGAGUUAUAAAAAAUUACUUUGUUUUUUUUUUAAAGUGAAAGCCACGUAAAAUUCAUCAUCCGUACUGGCUCUCAAGAGUAAAAGACUGUGCAUGAGUUUUUUAUUCAGUACUAUUUACUACAACCUAAAAGAAACACUUAACAACAAGAAUAAGAAGCAACACUACUUAAAACAAUAGCAAAAUAGAUUAAAAGCCAGCCUACAUAGUUUUCUAGCUUGUUUAGUUCUAUAAACAUCUGUGAUGAAGUGUUUUAGGUGUUAUCGUUUGUAUGAGAUAAGAUUAGUAAUUUAUGUUGAAGAGACAGGUUGUAUAUUUUAUGUUUUUUAUUAGAACAAAUGUUUAAUAGAAUAAAGUAAUUUCCAACUUCCAAGUUUAUGUUGGUCAUCUGAGUGGCUCCAUACGUACUACAUUCAAAAUAGAAUAACUUAAUCUCAACAGAUCAGAAUGCACAAUUUUCUCUAGAUUUGAUAACUACUGAAAGUGUUAGUUUAGAUCUGCACGUUCUGUUUUAAUUGUCAAGGAAGUUGAAGUAUCAUAGUAGUGAUAGAUUUUUUAUGUUUAUUAUUGCUGCAAAUUAUCUAAAUAUAUGAGGUCUUGUCAAAAAGUAUCUUCAAUAAAUUGUGGAAGUUUUGGAAUGACUUCUUAAUGACCAUUGCACUUGUGUUAAAAACCACAACUUGCGUUUAACAUUUUAUUUAAAUCAAAAGUGCAGUGCGGCUUUAUGUAAGUUGUGUUUUCAUUUGAAGCUUUCAAUACAACCUGAAAUAAAAGACAUAUUUAAAUUUUAACAGUAAUACUAUGUAAACCUUAAGUUAUUAAUUUAAGUGGCCAAUUAUUUUAAUUUAGAAAUCAUGACUUUGAUGUUUGCUGUAGCAUGUAAUUUUACCUGCUAAUAUAUUUUUGUGGAUGAAUGGUUGUGCAAUGAAUACUUUAUGGUGUUAACACUUAACUAAAUGUCUGUUCUAUUGAUUUGUAAUUCCUAUUGAUAGCCAUCCCUAUAUUGCGUUUUAGGUUUUCUUUAUCUUAAAAUAACUAUAUUUAUUAUUGCGAAUUUAAAGAGAACAGUACUGCUAAGGAGCUUAGUAAAAAUAUGAUAAACAAGAUGGAUUACUUCUUGUAUGAUUGUUGGCCUUACCAAAAAACCCCAUGCAUUUCUUGGUUUUUAAUUUUUUCACAAUUAUUUCAACUUAAGAUUUUUGUUCUGUUGAUUUAAAGAAUUCUCUUUCUUAGUAAAAAACCUUUUUUCUAAGUAUUACAGAGACAGUGAUUUGCAGUGUUAAAAAGUGGUCCGUUAAACAUGUUUUUAAGUGGUUUCUAGCGUUCUUUUUGUAAACACACCAAAUUGACUAAGAGUGAGCAUUAAUACUUUUCCACAAACCAGUAGCCUACAUUCCAAUUUACAAAAGUGAAGAAAAAGAACAAUUUUUUUCAUUUGGUAACAACAACAAAACUUUCACCUCCAAUAAGCAAGACAUUAAAUACAUUUGAAAGUUUUUAUAAUGUGAUUCUUUUAAUACUUUGCUUUGAAAUGGCGACCAUAGGUCUACGAAUGUAAGUAUUUUAAGCCAAGUAUGAAUGGAGAUGAGUGUAGGAUGAGUGGAUCUUGUUUGUAGUCUUGUUAGUGACCAAGGCUAAAAUAUUCCUUUUAAUUAAUAGCCUUCCUGGAUACACUUGUGUAACUAGGUAACUAUUAAGUUAGAUUAACGAGGUUCUAUGUGCCUAAAAUAACUACUGUUAUUGUGAUGUAAUGUGAUAAAUAAAUGAUUAUGUUUAAGCAUA